GGGCCAUAGAGAGAGAAGCUGGAGAGGGUUGUUUCCAUAGGAGCCUGGCCCAGUCCCAUGACAUUGCUUGGCCUCAGUUUCCACGGCUGUGAAAUGGGAAUUAAACCUCCCCUGCCCUCAUCCACAGGAGGUAUGAAGGUUAAAUGAGGAAGUGGGUAGACGGGUCUUCUGGAACCCCUGGAGCACUACCUGAGGUGAAAGGUUAUCAUUCCUCUGACCUUCCCUCAGGGGCUGGGGUGUUCCUCCAGAAGAGGAGAGCUGGUGCUUCUGGAAAUAGUAAUAGCUCACAUUGAGCGCCUGACAGGCCAAGCAUUGUCCUAAGCCUUCUGUGCGGAUUCAUCUUCAGAACAAACCUAGGAGGACUCCAAGAGGCUAAAUGACCCACCUACUGCUACAAAAUUAGCAAGAUAUAAAACCAAAAGAGUACCCAGGUCUGUUCAGUCCACAGAUUCAGAGGGAUAACAGCCGAAGAAGCUCUCAGAGGGGGCAUUUACCCUGACCUCAUGCCUCACAGAAAAUAAACUGAGACCCAGAGAGGGCACGGACUUGGUCACUCAGGGAGCUGGUGACAAAACAGGAACGGGAUUCUUCAGCCCAUGCUUCUUCUCAUCACCCAGAGGUCUUUCCAGAGAACUGUGCGGCCCCAGACUUUUACUGGACACUCACUCUGUGUCAAGUACUAAGCAAGCUACGAAUUACUUUUGUUGUUGUUAACAGAGACCCGACCCUGGUGACUUAAGCAGAGGAAGUCAUUCUCUCUCAUAAAAGAAGUCCAGAGGCAGGUAUUACAGGGCUGUCUGACAGAUGGACAAAGUCAUCAGGGAUGCAGGUCCCUGCUACUUUUCUGCAUCACUGCCGUCAACACAGAGGUUCGAUUCUAAACACCCAAGAUGGCUGCUGGAGUUUGAGCCAUCACAUCCACAUUCCAGGCACGAAAAGGAGGAAGAAACUGGAACAAAAGGGCAUGUGUGCCUGCCCUGUCUGCCCCCCUCUCUCCUUUAGGAAUCUUCCCGAAAGCCCAUCUAAGUUCCACUUAUAGCCCAUUAGCACUUGCUAGUUGCAAGAAAGGUUAAGAAAUGUCAUCUUUUACCUGGGCGCAUUGCUACCCUAAAUAAAAUUGGGGUUAUGGUAGGAAUGAAGAGCGGGAACAUGAUA